CCUUUAGUAGCUCAGCCGGAAGAGCAUGGGACUAUAACAGAAUAUCUGUGAUAUCCCAAGGCCGCUGGUUCGAUUCCAGCCUGAAGGA